AUGAACGCUGGCGGCGUGCCUAAUACAUGCAAGUCGAGCGAACAGACGAGGAGCUUGCUCCUCUGACGUUAGCGGCGGACGGGUGAGUAACACGUGGAUAACCUACCUAUAAGCCUGGGAUAACUUCGGGAAACCGGAGCUAAUACCGGAUAAUAUAUUGAACCGCCUGGUUCAAUAGUGAAAGACGGUUUUGCUGUCACUUAUAGAUGGAUCCGCGCCGCAUUAGCUAGUUGGUAAGGUAACGGCUUACCAAGGCAACGAUGCGUAGCCGACCUGAGAGGGUGAUCGGCCACACUGGAACUGAGACACGGUCCAGACUCCUACGGGAGGCAGCAGUAGGGAAUCUUCCGCAAUGGGCGAAAGCCUGACGGAGCAACGCCGCGUGAGUGAUGAAGGUCUUCGGAUCGUAAAACUCUGUUAUUAGGGAAGAACAAAUGUGUAAGUAACUAUGCACGUCUUGACGGUACCUAAUCAGAAAGCCACGGCUAACUACGUG
rnacentral:rRNA from 1 species